ACGGUAUUCCCCGGAAAGAAAUUAAAACUAUUGAUUCAGAGGUACAUUUAGGAUCUAAACAUCUAUCUAACCGUGUUGAUUGCUGGAAAGAAACAUGUCUGGCAGUUUCUAUUACGUCAUGGUUGGUCAUCAUGACAACCCAGUCUUUGAAAUGGAGUUCUUGCCUGCUGGUAAAGCUGAGUCAAAGGAUGACCACCGGCAUCUGAACCAGUUUAUUGCACAUGCAGCUCUCGACUUGGUGGAUGAAAACAUGUGUCUAACAACAUGGUACCUGAAAACUGUGGACAAGUUCAAUGAGUGGUUUGUCUCUGCCUUUGUCACCGCAGGACAUAUCCUUUUUUGACUACUACCCAAGACCUACACGUAAGUAAGUAGCAGUGUCUGAAGCAGAAUGGCCAUGUACUCUUAUAAUCUCCACCCGGCACAGCCAGUAGAGGAUUGACCA